UGGGGAAUCUUGCGCAAUGGGCGAAAGCCUGACGUAGCGACGCCGCGUGAGGGAAGAAGGCCUUCGGGUUGUAAACCUCUUUCAGGAGGGACGAAGCCACUCGGGUUAAUACCCCAGAGGGUGACGGUACCUCCAGAAGAAGCCCCGGCUAACUACGUGCCAGCAGCCGCGGUAAUACGUAGGGGGCAAGCGUUGUCCGGAAUCAUUGGGCGUAAAGCGCGUGUAGGCGGCCAGAUAAGUCCGCUGUGAAAUCUCGAGGCUCAACUUCGAGCUGUCGGUGGAAACUGUCUGGCUAGAGUCCGGAAGAGGAGAAUGGAAUUCCUGGUGUAGCGGUGAAAUGCGCAGAUAUCAGGAAGAACACCCGUGGCGAAGGCGGUUCUCUGGGACGGUACUGACGCUGAGACGCGAAAGCGUGGGGAGCGAACAGGAUUAGAUACCCUGGUAGUCCACGCCGUAAACGAUGGGAACUAGGUGUGGGCGGUGUCGACUCCGUCCGUGCCGAAGCUAACGCU
rnacentral:rRNA from 1 species